rnacentral:rRNA from 1 species
UGGGGAAUAUUGGACAAUGGGCGCCCGNCUGAUCCAGCCAUACCGCGUGGGUGAAGAAGGCCUUCGGGUUGUAAAGCCCUUUUGUUGGGAAAGAAAAGCAGUCGAUUAAUACUCGGUUGUUCUGACGGUACCCAAAGAAUAAGCACCGGCUAACUUCGUGCCAGCAGCCGCGGUAAUACGAAGGGUGCAAGCGUUACUCGGAAUUACUGGGCGUAAAGCGUGCGUAGGUGGUUGUUUAAGUCUGUUGUGAAAGCCCUGGGCUCAACCUGGGAAUUGCAGUGGAUACUGGGCGACUAGAGUGUGGUAGAGGGUAGUGGAAUUCCCGGUGUAGCAGUGAAAUGCGUAGAGAUCGGGAGGAACAUCCAUGGCGAAGGCAGCUACCUGGACCAACACUGACACUGAGGCACGAAAGCGUGGGGAGCAAACAGGAUUAGAUACCCUGGUAGUCCACGCCCUAAACGAUGCGAACUGGAUGUUGGGUGCAAUUUGGCACGCAGUAUCGAAGCUAACGCGUUAAGUUCGCCGCCUGGGGAGUACGGUCGCAAGACUG